rnacentral:rRNA from 1 species
UACAGAGGGUGCGAGCGUUAAUCGGAAUUACUGAGCGUAAAGCGUGCGCAGACGGUUGCGUAAGUCAGAUGUGAAAGCCCCGGGCUCAACCUGGGAAUUGCAUUUGAGACUGCGUAGCUAGAGUCCGGAAGAGGAGAGUGGAAUUCCUGGUGUAGCGGUGAAAUGCGCAGAUAUCAGGAAGAACACCCGUGGCUAAGGCGGCUCUCUGGGACGGUACUGACGCUGAGACGCGAAAGCGUGGGGAGCGAACAGG